UACGGGGGGAGCAAGCGUUGUUCGGAUUUACUGGGCGUAAAGGGCGCGUAGGCGGCGCAACAAGUCACUUGUGAAAUCUCCGGGCUUAACCCGGAGCGGUCAAGUGAUACUGUCGUGCUAGAGUGCGGAAGGGGCUACUGGAAUUCUCGGUGUAGCGGUGAAAUGCGUAGAUAUCGAGAGGAACACCUGCGGCGAAGGCGGGUUGCUGGGCUGACACUGACGCUGGAGGCGCGAAAGCGUGGGGAGCGAACAGG
rnacentral:rRNA from 1 species